rnacentral:rRNA from 1 species
AUUGCCUACGGGACGCAGCAGUAGGGAAUAUUGCUCAAUGGGGUAAACCCUUAAGCAUCAACUCCUCUUUUAGUAUGAAGGUUUUCGGAUUGUAAACUCCUUUUGUUAGAGAAGAUAAUGACGGUAUCUAACGAAUAAGCACCGGCUAACUCCGUGCCAGCAGCCGCGGUAAUACGGAGGGUGCAAGCGUUACUCGGAAUCACUGGGCGUAAAGAGCGCGUAGGCGGGAUAGCAAGUCAGAUGUGAAAUCCUAUGGCUUAACCAUAGAACUGCAUUUGAAACUGUUAUUCUAGAGUAUGGGAGAG